UAGCUUAGAUAAACCAAUUAUGAAAAAAUGAAUUAGUAUCUAGAAUUAGACCCGAAGGCUAGUGAUCUUACCAUGGUCAGGGUUAUAAAAGCCCGAACGGGUUAUCGUUGUAUAGAUAUCCGAAGAAUUGUGGUAAGUUAGUGAAAGACAAAACUGACUAGUAUAGCUGGUUUUCCGCGAAACCUAUAUGAGUAGGUAAUUUAAUUAACAUCUUAGCAGGUACAGAACUGUGAUCUCGGAUAAUAUCAAUUGAUUUUAUCAACAUCGGGGGGUUGUAGUGACUUUACCGGAGAGUAUUUGCACUCGGAAUGGCAAAGAUGAAUGUUGAAUAAUCGGACAUAGUGCGAUAAGGUUGUAUGUCAAAAGGGAAACAGCCCAGAACAAGUGUUAAGGUUCCAAAAUUAUUGUUGAGUGAAAUUAAGGAUGUUCUUUUUUAAUACAAUCAGGAAAUAGGCUUAGAAGCGGCCAUUUUUUGAAGACCUCGUAACAGAGCACUGAUUAAAAUUUUAGAAAAAAACACCGAAAAUUUAACGGAUCUAAAUAAUAUACCGAAACCUUGUACACAUAUUAUAAUAAUAAUUAUGUAUUGUAUAUGUGGGGUAGCGGAACAUUGGAUAGAUAUUAUUUAAUAUUUCUUCUAAGAAAUAUUAAGUUUGUUUAUUUUUAUCAUUUUGAUUUAAAUAAUUUAUUAAUAUAAUCCAAGAGAGAAUGCUGAC
rnacentral:ncRNA from 1 species